CUGAAAUCACCUAGGAGACAGACCUUCAGUCGUGCCUGCCAGGGAUCGGUUAGCAUCCUAGCAUGCUUGUGGGAUUAUCUUGAUGGGAUUGAGGUGCGAAAACCCACCCUAAUAUGAGUGACUCCAUUCUCUGAGCUUGAGUCUUUGGUGGCAUAAUAACAAGGAAGAGAGCUAAGGAGCAGAACACAUCCCUCUGUCCCCUGACUGAAAGUGAAGUGACCAGCUGCCACCAAGACUUGCACAACAUAAUGGGCCGUGCCCCGAUACUGUGAGACAAAACCAACACUCCCCUAAAUUGCUUUUGUCUGAUAUUUCAUUGCAAAACAGGAAAAGAAACUAAGACGGGGCCUGUGGUUUUAUUUACUAAAUCUGUCUGUUCUGGGAGGUGCAGAUCACGGGUGCCAGCCCUUCUUCACCCACCUCAUCCCCAUCUUAAAGCACAGAGAAAGCUGGUCGAUGAGUCUGCUGACCAGCAGGGGGCGCCUGCCCAAUUCUGAUGGUUUCCUGCCUAUAGCUCAUGGAUGCAAUUUGGAGGUGGCCACUGGGUGGCACCAUUAUGUCACAUAUGCCUACUGAGAAUCCUGUUGACUGCUGGACAGGGGACAAGUCUGGAAUCCAAAGCCCUCAUCUGGACUGACUCUGCUAUGGGGACUCUGCAUGCUGAGUAUAUCUUCCUGUCUACAGCCUGGGGGUCUUUGUCCCUGGCUCAAUUUCACUCACUGGCUUCUGUGGCUGAGGGUCCUUGGGCUCUUACCUCUGUGGAACCUAAAAGCCCCUGAGAGGGACGUUGAAUGAAUUCAGGGUAGACAAGCCCAACCCUGGGCCAGAGCCUAAACAAGACAAACAGCCCACAGCAUUCAUUUUGGGGAGGUUGGGCUGGAACCCACUUGGCACAGAGGACCAGGAACUUGGAGGUCUCAUAGGGAGGCUUACAAGUUGGCUAACAGCCAUGCUGCUGCUGAUCCAUCCUGCCAGGUCCCAGCCUGGCAGAAGUCAUUUUGCAGCAAGGAGAGACUAAGACAGCAGUGGGAUCUCAAGGAUCUGAGCUGAGUCUGAUGUCCUCGCUGUACAGGCAUUUUUGCAUGCUGGAUGUGGGACAUUGAGCAUUAGUGUGCUGAGGAGACUCCUUCCUUGUGACCUGGUAUGGGCAGGGCAGGGCAGGGCAGGUUGGUGGCUUCUGCCAGUGAUGGGAGGUGGCUUACUAAUGGUCAGGAGAGAAGGUCUUGGCAGGAAAAGCUGCCGAUUCCGUGCAGUGGGCGAGGUUUCUUCUGGGGAGACGGGGAAGGAGAAAGGGAAUCGAUGCCCCACAAGCAUGUGGCUUUCUCUCCUGUGCACGGGGCAGGUCCAGCAAACCACUUAAAACCCCAUCACGCUGACGGCCAUGCUCAGAAAUAGAAAAGUGAUUCUUUUAUGGCAUUUACUGCUCAGACUUAUCCACUCAGCCGAGUAAACAAGACCCCACAAGGAGCCGGUUUUGAUUCUCGGGGUGCCCUGUCACGUCUGAAUUAUGUCACACAGCAGGACUCUGGGCAGGUGAUAUGAGGGUUGUGUUCAUGACUGUGUAGCCCUGCUCCGGCCCUGGGGGAAGACCCGUCAGCAUCCUUUACUCCCGGAGGUGGAGGAUCUGCGGACAAUGCAGAGCAGCACUGGAAGGGACAGAGCUCUCUUGCCUGAUGUUGACUCUCCACCCAGAGUGCCAGCAUUUAUUUGCUUUUCCAGAGUGUUGUGGGAACGAAAGGCUAAUCAAAAGCCAUGGUGCCUGAAACCCUUAAAGGACCAAAGUCCGGAGACUCAGGCUGGCGUUCACCUCCUGCAGUCAGUGUGCAUCCUGGGUAAGGCAGACGUGUCCAUCCACCUGUUGAAGGAGCAUCUUCAGGAGAUACUGAGCUCAUCACCCUCAGAGACCUCCAAGCAAGGUCCCAUCCGAUGUCCACGGGGAACACUGUGAGAAGCACUGAUGGGCUGUGGUUGCUGGGUGCAGGGACACAGAAGGGGUCACUGAAACUUGCCCUAAGCUCUGAAGGGUGCUUACCCCUAGUGGCUACCUGAUGCUCAGAGAUGCCCCAAGGCAGUCUUCAGACACCCGAUGCCUGGGCCUCACUUGCAGGCACACGGGGUCCCUUGGAGGGGAAACCAGGGCAGUGUGAGUGAAAUCCGAGAACAAAGGUGCGUAUUUGCUUACAAGCGGAGAGAAUCACAGAAUUGACACAUUCCUCACAAUUGACAAAUAGCACGGAUAUUGGAAGGAGAAAACCCGGAAAAAAUAACAUGUGAUUUUUAUUAGCAGUCUGGCAGGUAAUAAAAAUGGGGCUUGCACUGUCUUUGCUGCCUUUCUGUCUGUCUGAUCCCGAGCCGCCUUUUCCCCACGACGAGCCUGCGAUAUCAUUUUCUAUACAAAGACAAGCAAGAUUAUCUCCUUCCCUCGGGAGCCUGGUGUAAAUUUGGUUUUGAUUAUUGUUGGGGUUUUUUUUUUUGGGAGGGGUUAAGGAAAAGAAAAACAAUUUGUUUUGUUUUGUUUUGUUUUUGCGUUUAGCUUCAGAACUCAUGGCAAUGUCAAAAAAAAAUAUGAGCUGCCUCUUUGCCACAUACUUCUGCCUCCAUUACCUUCAGCCCAAGUACAGAGGGACAAGUAACCAUGGAUGGAACCUUUUGGAGCCAGGAGCCAAAACAAAACUGCCUCCCCUCAAAUUGUUCCUGUGUGGUUUGGUCAAAGCAAUGAGAAGAGCUGCUGUGAUCCUUAACUGGCUAUAAAGUGGAGCUCCUCCUGGGCCACAGAUGACUCGCUUCCUUGGUGAG
rnacentral:lncRNA from 1 species